UUUGUUACUCGAGUUAUAUGCAAGGGCAAGCAGUGUUUUGGCAUGCUCUGGGCUCCUAAAGCACUGCUGGGGCAGCAACGGAAGUCACUCCCACUAUUUUAGAAGACAGGUCAGCAGAGUCCCAAAGUUCCAGCAGCUGAAGUCUCUGGAGAGCCUUCUGUUCCCUAAGCCCUGGGGAGAGCUGAGGAGGAGCCUGUGCUGCGAAGGACGCCCUCACCGUGGGAACUGCGGUUUGAACCUGCAAGGAUGAUGACAAAUGGGUUCAGAUCUCCCCCAGUGAGGGUCUCUUUGAAGGGUGUGAGCUGUCCUUUUUCAGUGGUGACAUUGAAGGGAAAUAAAAGGUUAAUACAAGAUCUGAGCAAAUAAUGAUUCAUUUCCAACAGUGCUACCAGCAGAAAUGGCUUUCAGCUGCAUUGUGUGCUGAAAACUGAUGACUUACAAUUGGCUAAAGCUGACAGUGGGGUUGGAACAGCUGUGGUACAGAAAGGCAGCAGAAACUUGCAGAAACAACUGGUUUUGUUCAAGCUGAAAAAGAAUGUCAUUUUCAUCCCCUCUUGUGUAAGUUGGUGCUCUGAAGGUUUUCUUGUGUUUUUAAAUACCUGCUGAGGAACAGCAGAAUUUCAAGAACAAAGCUGCUUACGUACUCUGGACCAUACAAAAUUCAACCAAGUACAAAUUCAUCUUGUGGCAGUGAAGCUGAUUUAUGAAGGCACUGUCAGGGAGGGCAUUUGCUGUGCCAAGGGAACUGUGUCUGUGUGGCUGGUGAUUCUGAAGAGAAAGCAGCUGCUGCUCCUCCCAGUUAUUCCUACCAGCUCCUCUUUCUGCUCUGCUUCAAUUAGGACCAAUGUUCUACCAGAGAGAUAGAACUCUUAUUCUGGGAGCAAAUGUUUUCUUCUGGGAAAAUGCAUUGGUCUGGCUUGGUUUUGUUUUUAGCACUACCUAGAGUCCUUUCAUCUGUGCUGGUGAUGUUAGUGCUGCUUCCCCUGGG
rnacentral:lncRNA from 1 species